GAUGAACGCUGGCGGCGGGCCUAACACAUGCAAGUCGAGCGAACACACAAUGAGCUCUUUCUCUUGACGUUAGCGGGGGACGGGCGAGUAACACGUGCAUAACCUACUUCUUUUACGGGGAGAAUUUCGGGAAACCGCUUCCAAUACUAGCUCAUAUAUCGUACCGCAUGGAGCAAUAGAUCUUCACGGCUUGCCCGAUUCUAUUAGCCGGUGUCGGAUUAGCUAGUUGGCUGGGUAAAGGCACACCAAGGCGACGAUGCGUAGCUGGUCUGAGAGGAUGAUCAGCCACACUGGAACUGAGACACGGUCCAGACUCCUACGGGAGGCAGCAGUGGGGAAUAUUCGACAAUGGGCGAAAGCCUGACGCAGCAACACCGCGUGAGUGAAGAAGGUCUUCGGAUCGUAAAGCUCUGUUAUUGGGAAAGAAAAGAAGCAUGAGAAAACAUGCACGUCCUGACGGUACCUAAACAAAAAGCACCGGCUAACUUCGUG
rnacentral:rRNA from 1 species